rnacentral:rRNA from 1 species
UGACGGUACCUGACUAAGAAGCCCCGGCUAACUACGUGCCAGCAGCCGCGGUAAUACGUAGGGGGCAAGCGUUAUCCGGAUUUACUGGGUGUAAAGGGAGCGCAGACGGCAUUGCAAGUCUGAAGUGAAAACCCGGGGCUCAACUCCGGGACUGCUUUGGAAACUGUAGCGCUAGAGUGCAGGAGAGGCAAGUGGAAUUCCUAGUGUAGCGGUGAAAUGCGUAGAUAUUAGGAGGAACACCAGUGGCGAAGGCGGCUUGCUGGACUGUAACUGACGUUGAGGCUCGAAAGCGUGGGGAGCAAACAGGAUUAGAUACCCUG